UUGACAACAUGACGCAUGAUGACAGUCACAACAUCACGUUCAGCUCCUGCAGAUUAUUUGCUUUUAAAUGCAACUAAACAGCACAUAUUUCAGCUCAGCUGCAAACGAAAUCAACACACUGUGGGAUAAAAUGCUGUCAAGCGCCUCACCUAAUAAGUGUUGUCCUGUGGAUUGUGAACUGGUCCAGCUGAAGCAGAGCUCUGUGACGUGUGGACAGACGUUGACUGUGAUGAUGCUGAUCUGCUGAUGGACAGUUUGUCCAAAAGCAUAACCCCUGCUGGUCGUGGUCCCAGAAGCUCCAGGGGGAGACCGUACUAGUUUCCCCCUUCUUUGGGCGCGCCUUCACACACACUCCAGCAUUCACACGUAACGCGGAGAUCCGGCUGGAGUGGAACCAGCAACCUCUGAACCCGUGAGGCAGUGCUCUUAACCUGCGGCACAAGCGGGUUUGAGUCCUUCAGUCCGACACCUUCAGCUGCUUGACAACAUGACGCUUGAUGACAGUCACAACAACACGUGCAGAUCCUGCAGAUGACAGCUGUUUCUGUCACUUCAACAACACAUAUUUCAGCUCAACUGCACAGUGAAAUCGACAGAGAAACGCUGGAAUCGAGUGUGACGCGACUCACCUAAUAAGUGAUGUCCUGUGGAUUGUGAACUGGUCCAGCUGAAGCAGAGCUCUGUGACGUGUGGACAGACGUUGACUGUGAUGAUGCUGAUCUGCUGAUGGACAGUUUGUCCAAAAGCAUAACCCCUGCUGGUCGUGGUCCCAGAAGCUCCAGGGGGAGACCGUACUAGUUUCCCCCUUCUUUGGGCGCGCCUUCACACACACUCCAGCAUUCACACGUAACGCGGAGAUCCGGCUGGAGUGGAACCAGCAACCUCUGAACCCGUGAGGCAGUGCUCUUAACCUGUGAGCCACAGAUCUCGUGCUGAGACAUGUGAAGGAACUUGUAUUUGUCUGUUUACCUGUAUGUGAGCUGUGUUUUUCCAAUAAAGCAGUUAAAUUGGGUUGGGGUUUGAUCCAGUGUCUCCAUCACAGCCUCAUCCUCAGAGAACAUGUGUUUAUCCACUGGACCAUCGUGGAUUUGACAUUGGUUGUUGGCGUUUGAGUGGUUUUGUUGGAUGAGAUGAGUUUAAAGUAAGCAAUAGUGAGAUUUGAACCUGGGUCUUCUAGAUUAAAAUACAAAGUUUUAUCUCUUGCGCCACUGAAUCUGUGGAGUUGAUGAGCGUUUUGAACAGGAUUUUAUUGAAAGAUUUGUGUUAAAUGAUGGAUAACUGUAUCAAAUGCAGGAUUUGAACCUGGACGUCCAUGUUUGAGAUGGAAAUCUUUAACCACUGAGCCACAGAGGUUAUGAUGUUGGCUUGGAUUUGUUUUUAGGAUAAUUAAGAUUUGAAGUUGAUUUCAACAUUCAUUUAGGCUGCACAAGAGACAGAAUUCUCCAGUAUUUUUGGUCUACUACAUUAUAAUUUAUUACUAUCAUUUUAAUUUUUUGUAGUUAAAACCUCAAAACGUUGUGCUUAGUUUAAAACAAAAUGUUUAUGGUUGUCACUGUCAUUGUGGAAAAAUACCUAAUUACACUUGUGCCACAGGAGGGCGUAAUAUUAAUUUAAGACUCCAUUUGCGACGCUGUAAUUCACAAAAAUCACCACAGGAUGGCACAAAAAAAUUUUUAUGUUUAUUAGACUUGAUUUGCAGCUUUGUAAUCCUAAAAAAAUUCCACAGGAGGGCGAAACAUUUUUUAGAGUCAGUUUGAAAAAGUGUAGUUUUAAAAACUCACCACAGGAGGGCGAAACAUAUGUAGUUUAUUUGAUUAAAUUUAAAGCGGUGUAAUUCACAAAAAUCACCACAGGAGGGCGAAACACUUAGUUUAUUAGA